AGAUUAAGUUAUUAAGGGCGCACGGUGAAUGCCUUGGCACUAGAAGCCGAUGAAGGACGUUACUAACGACGAUAUGCUUUGGGGAGCUGUAAGUAAGUUGUGAUCCAGAGAUUUCCGAAUGGGGGAACCCAACACGAGUAUGUCGUGUUAUCGACAUGUGAAUUCAUAGCAUGUCAGAUGGUAGACCCGGAGAACUGAAACAUCUUAGUACCCGGAGGAAGAGAAAGAAAAAUCGA
rnacentral:rRNA from 1 species